CUCACCCCCUUCCCUGCCCCGCCUUGCCACGACCAAUCCGGCGAGCCCCGGCGCGCCCGUGCUCCCCGCUGCUCCAUCCAUCCAUCCAUCCAUCUUCUACUGCCAGCGGCGCCCCGACUCCGCACCGCACCUCCGACGCUCCGCGCCUUGCCCUCCUCCUGCUCGCCGACCCCAGGACACUCCCCUUUAUUCCCUCCCCUCUCCCCCACCCCACCCGACCCCUCACCGUCGCUCCUGUAUUACAGGCAACGCGCAUGGCAGUCCCCGACGAGAGCUGGGCGCUGGGCGCCCUCCCGGUGGACGACGACGCAUCCAUGACCAAAAUGACCACGAGCCAAACAGUAGGCCGCAUCCUCCUUGUCAAGCUUGUUGGCUAUUGCCCUGGUGGUGCUCAGAUCUUAGCGGUUCGAAAGGUUUCAUAACUAGUUUUAAAGAGGGAUCAUGUUUCAGUGCGUAGUCUGCCAACUAUGAUGAGCCAGUGAAAUGCCCUCCCGAGCCAUCAUGAUAAGAAAAAAUCUGUUGCUGACAUCAUUUGAGUGUGUGUCUGGCUUGAGGGUGCACAAGUGACUGCAUUUGUUUACGUUUUAGUUCUUCAUGCUAUUCACUACUGCUGGAGUUUCGAAGCGUCGUUAAUGAGCGCGCCAUCAGAUGUCCACUGUCCAGUUGUUGAAAUGGCUACUAGAUCUGUACUCAGCUGCCUUGCUGGAACAAGUACUCGAAAAAUGUUGUCGCAAGCAGUGAAGGCAUAGGUACUGCUAGUGUAUGAUGGGAGUACGAAGAGCAUGAGUGUUGAUUUUUCACGUACAGAGCCCUCGAUGCUUGUAUCUGGUGGUGAUGAUUGCAAGGCCAAGGACGUCGUUGGAAGGAGGAGCUCCGUGGAGUACGGCUAGCGGCGGCGGCAGAGAAGAAGGGCGAGGACGAGACGAUGCACCGUGGCGAAGGAGGAGGCGGCUUUGCUCUGGGUCGGGACAGCGCUAGCAGCAGGGUGGCCCCUCCUCUCCCAGUUUCCUCCUCCCUGACUCGUUGUGGUUGCCAUGACAUAUGCAAAGCGUGGUUCCAACACAAGUCACUGGUUGCAGCUCCGUCAUCCCACCACACACGCUCGCUGCAGCACCAGCAGGUUGUAGCACACCUUUGACGGUUGUAGCAUGGUUGCAGGUGGGCUGCAACUUCUGCCCACAAUGGUUGCAGCUCUGAUGCAGGAGUUGCAGCUCUGUGCAGCUUCGCCUACGACAAUUCCAGCAAAAAACAAUGCCGGUCUGCAGCUUCGGUGGAAGCCAGUUCUAGAAGAAAAGAAAAUCGCCGGUUGCAGCUCUCAUGUAGCCGGUCCCAGCAAAAAC